rnacentral:rRNA from 1 species
UACGUAGGGCGCAAGCGUUAUCCGGAAUUAUUGGGCGUAAAGAGCUCGUAGGCGGUUUGUCGCGUCUGCCGUGAAAGUCCGGGGCUCAACUCCGGAUCUGCGGUGGGUACGGGCAGACUAGAGUGAUGUAGGGGGAGACUGGAAUUCCUGGUGUAGCGGUGAAAUGCGCAGAUAUCAGGAGGAACACCGAUGGCGAAGGCAGGUCUCUGGGCAUUAACUGACGCUGAGGAGCGAAAAGCAUGGGGAGCAAACAGG